rnacentral:lncRNA from 1 species
GAUGUGUAUUUGAACUCAAAGAGCUGCUUCCAAUGCUGAUGCAUUGUCCUACCAAAGCUGCAAUGGCAGAAGCCCUGCUCUGGAGGGAUGCUGGAGUUGAGAAGGGCCCAGAAGAUUAAAGAUAAGGGCAAAUCAGUAAUGACAGAGAAACAGACAUGAACCUAGACCGGCAGCUGGAGGGCAGCACUCUGUCUCAUCUUAGACUCGAAUCAAGAAGCCCUGUGGAUCAUGGACAGAAGCCUCUGCAACCUAAGGUUCUCCAUUGUCCUUUCACAUCGAAGACUUCCUGGAACU